UGCUUAUUAUGCCAGUCUUGUAUAACAGGA
rnacentral:piRNA from 1 species